UUUGAUCCUGGCUCAGAAUCAACGCUGGCGGCGCGCCUAACACAUGCAAGUCGAACGAGAAAGCAGGAGCAAUCUUGUGAGUAAAGUGGCGUACGGGUGAGUAACACGUGGAUCAUCUACCUUCUAGUGGGGGAUAACCCUGGGAAACCGGGGCUAAUACCGCAUAAGUCCGAGAGGAGAAAGCAGCAAUGCGCUGGAAGAGGAGUCCGCGGCCGAUUAGUUAGUUGGCAGGGUAAAAGCCUACCAAGACAAAGAUCGGUAGCCGGCCUGAGAGGGCACACGGCCACACUGGCACUGAAACACGGGCCAGACUCCUACGGGAGGCAGCAGUGGGGAAUCUUGCACAAUGGGGGCAACCCUGAUGCAGCGACGCCGCGUGAGCGAUGAAGCCCUUCGGGGUGUAAAGCUCUUUCGGCAGGGAAGAUUAUGACGGUACCUGCAGAAGCAGCUGCGGCUAACUACGUGCCAGCAGCCGCGGUAAUACGUAGGCAGCAAGCGUUGUUCGGAGUUACUGGGCGUAAAGGGUGUGUAGGCGGUCUUCUAAGUUUGGUGUGAAAUCUCCCGGCUCAACUGGGAGGGUGCGCCGAAAACUGGGAGGCUAGAGUACUGGAUGGGAGAGUGGAAUUCCUGGUGUAGCGGUGAAAUGCGUAGAUAUCAGGAGGAACACCGGUGGUGUAGACGGCUCUCUGGACAGUAACUGACGCUGAGACACGAAAGCGUGGGUAGCAAACAGGAUUAGAUACCCUGGUAGUCCACGCCCUAAACGAUGUAUAUUUGGUGUGGG
rnacentral:rRNA from 1 species